rnacentral:rRNA from 1 species
GAUGAACGCUGGCGGCGUGCCUAACACAUGCAAGUCGAACGGAAAGACGAGAAGCGUGUUCCUCUAACGGUGGCGGCGGGCGGGUGAGUAACGCAUGCAUCACCUACCUAUAUGACGUGGAUAACAUCGUGGAGCAGGUGCUGAUAAUGGAUAAUAUAUUCAACGGGAGGGUUCAAUAGUUCAUGACGGUUUUGCUGGCUCAUAGAGCUGGAUCCGCGUCGGAUUAGCUAGUUGGUAAGGUAACGGCUUACCAAGGCGACGAUGCGUAGCCGACCUGAGAGGGUGAUCGGCCACACUGGAACUGAGACACGGUCCAGACUCCUACGGGAGGCAGCAGUAGGGAAUCUUCGGCAAUGGGCGAAAGCUUGACCGAGCAACGCCGCGUGGGUGAUGAAGGUCUUCGGAUCGUAAAACUCUGUUAUUGGGGAAGAACAACUGUAGAAGUAACGAUGCACGUCUUGACGGUACCUAAACAAAAAGCACCGGCUAACUACGUG